CAGUUCAGAUUGCAGGCUGCAACUCGCCUGCAUGAAGUCGGAAUUGCUAGUAAUCGCGCAUCAGCCAUGGCGCGGUGAAUACGUUCCCGGGCCUUGUACACACCGCCCGUCAAGCCAUGGGAGUCGGGAGUGCCUGAAGUUCGUGACCGUCACAGGAGCGACCUAAGGCAAGACCGAUGACUGGGGCUAAGUCGUAACAAGGUAAC
rnacentral:rRNA from 1 species